ensembl:lncRNA
CCUCCUCCCUGUACUCACUGGUGUAGAGGGAGGAGUAAAAGCUGACCGCUCGCCUCCUAAUCUGGCAUGGUUCCACCACCGGCAACCCUGUGUCUGCCAAGAGCGCAUGGAUCCCCCUCCCCUGCCCACUCUUCCUCUCCAGGCAGAAGAAAAAACUAGAGGGAGUGUCCAUCUCCGUGAUGGUCUGGAAUCGGGACCUGACCAGUGCACCCUGAGCUUUAACGUCUAACAGGUCGGCCAGAGCCAUUUUUUUGAUCUUGAGGAUUUCAAAAUGUCCUCGCUCUCCUGUGGACUCGUUUAAACGCUCUAGUUCCACUAUAUCAGUCUCCAGGUCCUUCAUAGAUCCGGUGAUGUCUUUGGUCACGUUGAAAGUGUGCUGCUGACAAAGAAGCCUAAUCUCGCUCUUACCGCGGUCCCACCACUGCCUAAAACUACUAAAAUCACUCUUCCUCAGCCUAAAAACACUCCAAAAAUAUGAAAGGACCGCUCUAAAAUUCCUAUCAAAUGUUAAACCGGAGUUAAAAUGCCAGUACGCGCUUUUUGGCAAAAUGUUCCUAAUAAAAACAUUACACACUAGCAGGGAAUGAUCUGAAAAAACAGCCGGUACAAUGGUACACAUUUUAAAAAUAUUAAAAUGGUGCUUAAAAACAUAAAACCGAUCAAGCCUGGCUGAGGAGAUUCUACCUUCUCUGAGGUGGGACCACGUGUGCUGUCGGCAGUCUGCAUGCAUCCUUCUCCACACAUCUACCCGGCCAUGAGACCGGACCAGCUGCCUUAGAGCGUGCUGGGAAGCUGGAUGUGGCUCUGCGUGGUUGCGGUCUAUGGUCGCAUCUUCUGUGCAGUUAAAAUCCCCCCCGAAGAAUAAAAAAUCCUCCGGGGCACAGCCAUCUAAAAGAUCAUUAACUUUUGUUAAAAACAGCUUCCUCUCUGUACCGAUUGUUGGAGCACAUUGAUAAAACAACAGUAAAAAGGUGGAACCGUGCCUUGACUAAAAACAACCUCCCCUCGAUGAUGUGUUUGACCUCCAGAGAUACUGGCUUAGAGGACCUGGAGAAGAGGAAGCCCACUCCUCCACUGAGGUUGGUGUUGUGGCUCAGCAGGACUUCCCUCCUCCAGUCGGCCUCGUUGGUGCUGUCGCUGUGCGUCUCUUGCACGAAGAGAACAUCAAGACGUUUCAUUUUUUUAAAUUCAUAAAUAGAUGCCCUCUUCUUGGCAUCUCUGGCUCCGUUCACAUUCAGGCUUCCCACUUUUAAAGUAUCCAUGAUAAAAAUAAAUAAAAAUAAAACCAAUAAAUCAAUUAAAACACACAUUGGGGCUUUUCUCGUGAUCAUCGAUUGCUCGUUUUGCUUUUAGCACAAGUUUUUUUAGUCUAAAACCCUCUUGAUCUGUGAAGCCAGACUCCUCUCGCUGGCUCAUGCGGAGUCUGGCUGAGUUAUAAAAACACACCAGGUCUGGAAAAACUCCUCGAUUUUUAGAUUUCUCCUAUUUUUGACUUUUUGUAAAAACAUUUUGAUUUGCUCUGCGGAGUAGAGCUUUUCCCGCUGGCUGUGUGUCAGACAGGCGCUGUGGCUGUCGCUGCUGUCCGACACACAGCCCUCACUCUCACUGCCCUCAGAUGGCCCCUGACCCCCCAUGGCCUCCUCUUCCUCCCCCACCUUGCUGGCUUUUGCCUCGCUGCCUGUAUCUUGCCUCUUUUUUCUUCUUUUUGUUGCAGCUUUUUGCUCUCCUGCUUCCUCCUCCACCAUCUUAACCUCCUCUGCCUGUUCCACCCCCCCAUUCAGUCCUCCCCCCAACUGUGCCUCUCUGGCACCUGACUCCUGUUCCACACUAACCCCCCCCUCACCCUUUUCCUUUCCUUCCCCUCCAUCCUCACCCUGUGCCACCUCACCCAAAGCUCCUCUCUCACCCACCAAAACACCCUCAUUUACACUGUGCACAUCUUCCAUACUCACCCCGUGUAGGUCAGGCACAGCAGCGCAACGGCCCGCGGCCCGCGGAACCGGAAACGGCCUCACGGACGCCGCAGCCACCUCCGCGGCUGGAGACUCCCCCGCAAGCGCCGCGGCCGGAGGCUCCCCCGCCGCAGCCGCGGCCGGAGACCCCCCCGCAAGAGCCGCGGCCGGAGGCUCCCCCGCCGCAGGCGCGGCCGGAGACCCCCCCGCCAAAACCGCGGCCGGAGGAUCCCCCGCCGCAGCCCCGCCAGGCGGAGUCGGGUCCCCGCGCCUCGGGCAGGCACCCACGGUGUGCCCCUCCUCGCCGCAACCGAAACAUUUCAUCGCCGACGAUGAUGCAAAAAUCACGUACUCAUAAUCAUCUAUCUUAACAUGGAAGCGGAGGUUGAGCUCCACAUUCCGGUUGUUAAGUAUCAUAUACAGGUGUCUGCGGUGAGACACUACGUGCUUCAGUAACUGAGACCUGCAUCCAGACAAGAUCUUUUUGAUCGGUGAGACCACCUUUCCGUGUCUGGAGAGUUCUCUGCUGAGAAAUUCGUCGGUGAUGAACGGAGGGACGUUCGAUAGAACCACCUUCGUGGCCGGUUGCGUCAGUGGCAACACCUGCACAAACAUUUCAUUCACCGUGAGGCCCGCCUCGACGACUCGGUUCACCUUCUCCACCUGGUCCAGGAAAAUGACCACGGCCCCGUUCAUCCGAGCGGCCGACUUAACGCUGCCGUGCCCGACCACUUCCCCCACAGCCAACCCGAUGUCCUCCACGCUGCACGGGAAGCCCGCGGCGAUCUUAAUGCCGUGCUUCCUCGUGAGCUGGGAGAACGUGUCCCCAUUUACCAUGGCGUCUAGAGACGCCGACCGGCGAGACACCGGCAGGAGAAAAGAAAACCAAAGAAAAGAACCCCAACAACUAACCCCACAACUAAAGUGAAAAACAACCACUAAACCACAUUAAAUUAAUAUAUCUAACUAAGGGAAAAAAAGAACAACGAGAGAAAAACCGCUCACUCAGGACGCUCACACACACUCACACACACUCACUCCCAGCA